UUACUUGCAAUGGAGUAUUUUGUUGGUACUUGCACUCAAGUGAAGGAUCUGAGUACUUCUUCCACCACUGCUUGUCUGUAUGUCAAUGUAUUUCCUCAAUGAUGUGACUAUUUUCAACCAAUCUUCACGAGCAUGACUGUGUGGCCGCCAACCCUCCUAACCCCUCUCUGUGUCCGUCUGUCUGUGCAGCCCCCCUAUCUUUUUGAAACCCGUGUCAACUCAGCUACGCAUCAUUAACCCCUUUUGUGGCUGGUGCUGCACAUGUUUCAUCUGCCUCAGAUCAACACAGACAACAGCAGCAUCUCUAAUGAUAGUGGCUCCCUUGUGUGGCUGCUUGCCAGGCAAUAAUAGGCCACUUCAUUGACCUGUACUCCUCUGUAAUAAGCUGUAUCUAUAUAUCACCUCUUCCCACAUUUAUACCAGCUCACUGACUGCACACUAAUCCCAUAAUUUGUGAAACAUGACUUUCAUUUUGCAGACACAAGCAAAUACAUGAACAAAAAAUUCAUCCCCCCCCUUUUGCUUUAACCUUUUUUUCUUUGCUUUAGAGAAUAAUCCUGAACAUGUCAGUGCAGAGUCUGAAAGGCCAAGUGUUUUGUGGAUGACUGAACUCGUGUUUUAAAUAGACUAGGGGCCCGAUGCCCCUGUUAGUGCCUCCGAGUGCACAGGGCUGCUUGUCAGACCAUCUGGGGCAUGCUGGUCCACAGAAAGCAGAACACCAAACAACCCCCUGGGAUACAUCCUCUCCUCUGCUUCCCUGGGGCUCCUCCACUCAUAAGCACAGAGCAGAGAGAAACAACAGCAUUCACAGAGAGGGAGGAAGGAGGAGAAGGGAAUUAAAGGCAGAGGCGGAAAGGAUGAGGAUAGAGUGAGAUAUAUGAAAAAAAAGACAAUUAGGAAAGUGGCAGAAGAGCAGCCAAGCUGAACGAUAGGUGCAAAUUAAAGCCUCAUACUGAUUGAAUCAACACUUCAUCUGUUAUUUGUCACAGAAGAUACUGCAGUAACCUGGCAUUUUGAGCACACACCAAUAGUUUUGUGGAGAUAAUACAUGAGUCACAGAUGGGAGGACACUCACACCCUGCGUCCACUGUCAGGACUAAGGAAUGUCUUAAUGCAUCAUGAGGCUUAGCUCACUCUCAACAUGUCAUAAAUUUGUUAAAAUCCUCUAUUUCUGCUCUGGUAGAGAAAUGUGUGUAUCUCUGUGUGUGCUUGAAGCAAACCCAUGUGUGGUGUUGUUGAUUGGUGCUGCUUCUUCAGACCAGCUGAUCAAGGCUCUCUGUCCCUUUAGGCUCCACGUGGAUUCAUCGCAUGACACAGCUGGCUGAUACACAUAAAGAAGACUCUUUGUAAGCGCAAACACACACUCUGUCUCUCUUUUAAGGCCAGUGCUAGACCUUUAAGUAGCAUUUUCUAAGGAUUCAGGCCGCUCAUGAAGAUGUCAACAACUGUGUUAUAGGGACCCCAAGUGGUGAAAUGUAAUAGUGCAUCAGCUGAGAUAUGAAACAGCUGCUCUGCUGCAUGCAUCCUCCUCCAUCCAGAGUAUAAUCACAGCACCUGCAUAUUAAUAGAGCAGGACUGAUGCCAUGGAAUGAAUCCCACUGACCCAUAUUUCCUCUGCCAGUGGAGCCCUGGGUGGGGAGGUUAUAAGAGGAGACUGGCACCAACAAAGGCUCCACUGUUGCUACAGUGAUGUCAGUGAAAUGAUCUCUUCCCUCUGGCUCUCAUUAAUACUCUGCCAUUCAAAUUCAAUCAGCGAGGCAUAUGGUAAAUGGCAGCGACUCGUUUCACUGUACUAAAUCACAGCGGCGCGUGGGUGUCACGAUAAUUAAUGUAAUUGAUUCCAGGUUAUUCUAAUUCUGAGAGGACUGGGAGCUGCUAAUGUUGUAGCUGCAUAGAGUACAAGGUUUCUCAUAACUGAAAUGCUAUUUUACGUAUGUUUGUGAGCACAUUCUAAAAUCAGUAAUUGUGCAUUCACUUAAAAGGGCACUCAAACUAUUUUUCACAUGAAGUUAGGUUUACUUGUAAUGAGCAGCACUAGUCAGAUUGUGUCUUCUGUGGCUCUGGAGAGAGCUUUCCAAACUUAAAACUUAAAAUAACCCUGAUGACCCAACCCUAUUGACUUGCAUUGUGUGUCUGACCAUUUCUGUAAUAAAUUAAAGAUCAUGACCACAUGUUGAGGCUCUCUGAAUUGGACAGGAAUUGUUUGUUAGGGCCAAACGGUUGAAGUGGUUUAAAUCAGAAUGACACACUUGCCCUUUUAUGGUAUGCAACUGUGUCGGUGUAACAGCAUCGUUUGUGGCUUUCAGAACAAGUCAGCUCAUUUUUGUUUGAGUAAUAUUCGAAUAAGAAAUUCCCCACCUGAAAUAUGUGUGCACCAGGGGGUAGCUCUGCAGUAGUCAGGGGAUAUGUGGGAAAAAUGUAGCGAGUUAGCUCAGCUAAUCUGACAAAAAUAAAAUAAUAAAAGAUAUAUACACAUAAAAUAAACACACAUAAAAGAUUACAAAUUGGUGUGAGGCUAAUCAUAUAAUUUGUCACAAUAACCAAUAAACUACAAGCUCCAAUAAGCUGACAGCACAGGAGACACCUCUAAUCAAAUAAACGAAACAAAAUAAUUUGUGUAUCAUAGAUGUGUAUCAUUCUAAAUCACUUUUGGGCUUUUUGAGCAAACAGUACUCUAAAUUUACGUGUCUCUCAAGCAUGUGUUGUUUUUAAAAGAGGCCAACAGCAUUUGUCCUCCAUUUUAAACAUGUGCAACAAAAACUCACUAUAGCAUUAAUUGGACAGAGCGCUGGCCUCCAGAGCCUGGACAGGAAGUGUUGGGUGCACCAAAGGUCAAAAAUGACUGGCUUCAAUCAUCGUGUGGGCGUAUCUCCAGAACGCAGGAAGACGGGGAGGAAAGGAAAAGAAAUGGGAAAUGGAGAAAGGCCAAGGAGGGAGAGGGAGGAGCGAGGUUUAAGCGAGACAGCAGAGAAAAGACGGGGGGGGGGUUUGUAGGUGGUGGAAGUGUUUUUGUGCAUUGUGUGAAAUGUGAUCAUGUCCUGGAGCUGCUCAGACAGCUGGGAAGUUCCCUGCCCCUGGCUUCCAGCUGGGAACACUCUAAGGAGACACCAGAGCUGCAGACCAUAUACUUCCUUGCUUAACCCUUUAUCUGCUGCGGAGCUAUAAAUAAACACACUUAAACACCUUGGAACUUAAGUCACAUUUAUUGAUUUUAGCCAGUAUGACUACCUUUACACAGACAUGCCACCUCUCUACUGGAAAACAAACAAAACACUUUCAUAGGAUUAGUUCAGCAGUAAUACAUCAAACUUAACUCUUGUCUUUUCAUUUUUUUCUCCAUAUUUUUUUAACAACCUGGAAAAAGUUUACAUGUUUGUUUUCAAUUCUGUGUAAAGGUCCCAUGACUGAGAAACAUGCAUAUGACAUUUAGCUGUAAUCAAUAUGCCACUAAUCAUAAUGCACAUUAUUGAUAAGAAUACAGUACUGCAUGACAAUUCAAAUAAAUACCAACAUACAGGUGAAGUCGUUAUUUCAUAUAAAGAUAUCAAACUCUCAUUAUGGAUCAAUACUGAAACACAAUAUGACAAUAUAAAGUUUGCACAGCUAAUUUUAUUAUCACAACGCUAUCGCUUCCAGCAAACAGAAAACUUUUUCCUUUUUUAAUGUAUAACAGUAUCUGAAUUGCACUUUAAUUUUUUAGCUUCUCCAUAUUGGUAACUUUAACGCCUCAACAAACAAGCAUUGGCUAUAAUGGCACUAUUCAAGCUUGUUGAUGCUUAUUUUGCUUUCUGUUUCCUGAAAACAUAAUGCUCAAAGAUUAUGUAAAAAAAGAAUAAAAAAACAAAACUCAAGUUGGACAAAAAGAAAGAUAAAAUGCGCUCUCUGCACAUUUUUUCAACAAUACUAUUGAUAUCACAUUACCUUCACCAAACAAUGCUAGAGAUACGUUGAUGUUUCCAAUAGUACACCGAUCUACCCCAACACAUUACAGAUGCUUGGAGCAUUUUGUUCAAUAACAGGAGGCCAAAGGGAUUUCUUUUGGUUCCCAAAGUUUGAUAAAAAAACAACCUUUUCUUAAUACCCCUGAAUUUAUUGAAUGGAUCACUGACCUGCAGAAUUCAAUACAAUUUCAGUUUUAUUGAGCUAAUUUUUAAAACGAUCAUCUCACUCAUGCAGACAGGGGAAAAUUCCCUUUGCACUUAUUGCUGCUCACAGUUUCGAACCCAAAGUCCUCACCUAUAAAAAAAGAAAACAUAAAAUACUAGUCUAAGAUUCUCCCUUGAAACAAUGAAAGGCACUACUGGUCAGAAACGAAGAACUAAACAAACCAAAAACAAAACCCCGGCGCUCGAACGGAGAGCCAUGGCCCGCACUACAUCUUCCUCAGUGACGGCUUGUCUUAUUUCCGAGUCUUGAUUCUUUUCAACCUAAACGGUGCACCAAGAUUUGGCACGAUAAACGAAGAGAGAAUGAAACAAUUCCAAUUUGGAAUUUAAUCGUCACACUUGCAGAGAAUUCAGAAAGUCAGUGAUCCCAUUUCAGUGGAACGCCCUCGGUAAGAAGCUAGGAAAAGCAUAUCAUAUCACUCAAAUUUUUCCCAAAACACAACUUACCUAUUUGAGUCAGAGCGUUGUCAAGUUUCAUCGUGUUAUUUUGAACUAUUCCUAGGAAUAAUAAAUACAUGAAAAAACCCCAGAAUUUGAUCACCCUGGAUUUUUUGUGUAGAACAUGGCAGUAGAACAAACAUAAAAGAAAACCAACAGCAUAACAUAUGAUGUAACAAAACAAUUUAAGAAUGAUUAUUUGAUGGAUAAAAUCUUGAGGAUAAGUCAUAAUAGUAGGUCUGUGGUUUGUGGAGCCUUUACUAGAGUAAAUAGUUUAUAUAGUAAUAUUAAAUACUAUUUAAAUACUUUAAAUAGUAUUUAAGUUCAGAUAAUUCAGGAGGACGUAUAAUCCUAUAGUCUUAUAACCUAUACUGAAUUACUCACAAACCAUAGUACUACCACGCUUUCCUAUAGGUUAAUAAUAGUCUAUAAUAGUUAUAAUCCUAUAUAAUGAAAGUGCACAGAUUAAAAAAACAAUAAACAAACAAAAAAAAGAGAUAAACCCAGACAAAACAGCUUGUAGAUUUACAUUGAGAAACAACCCCAUCCCCUGGCUUAUCAUUGGACCAUUAGAUUAGCCAAUCACAACCUCUGGUCAGAAUUUCAAUCAGUUCAUUGGACCUGUGAGAAAUUGGCUUCCAGCAGCAGUACGCAAAAAUGAGACCAAGUGUCAUUCCGAUAGACAUCACAUUUUAAGAGAAAGUAGGAGUUGAUUUGACUGGAAAUCAGUGUUUUCAUUUAGCAUUUUGUUUUGUUUUUGUCUUCAAGUCCAAAUAGCCUAUUAGCCUACUGCUAACUCUUUUCGGCGAACUCAAUCAGCAGUGAGAAUGGACCUUGUGUUGGUACUUCGUCAUCCGUGCAGAACUACUGUAAUUACUGCAAAAUGAAGAAACAAACAAAUGAUCAGCAUUAGCGUUAUUUGUCAAUUUAGAGCGACUGUUAACACGGUCAACAGCUGAGUCCACACAGACAAAGUAGACGGCGGCUGUAGUUAGUCUAAGCAACAGAAGCCAUGUUAGGAGCCCUGAGGCAGCCGAUGUUAUGUCAAGAGCUUUUCUGUCAUGUUGACAUCAUCAAUAUGUUUCUGAGGAGCUGAUGUGAAAGCGGAUUCACCACAUAUUAUCCUGCAGGUGCUGUUAGGAAGCCAAUGACUCACAAGUACAAGAGUUAUAGCCAUAUCCCACCACCCAGGUCAAAGGAGAGGGGUGUUGCCAUGCAAGUUAAUGAAAAAUGAGCUAUGUUUUUGACAUGCAGGCUUACUAUAAAUCAGAUAAUAGAUGCAUCAUAUGAAGUCAAACUUAAAGGUGAAGUGGGAGGAGCCUGCAAGCAGAGGUAGGAGGAGCUUUUUGGUGGCAUGCUGUUAUGACACCAGAUAAACCAGACAUUGAUUUCAAACUAGAUGGAGCGAAGUGGGAAUUCAUCUAUCUAGGGAGAGGGGGUUCUAGUCACAAUCACAUCCUGGGUAUCUAUCUACUGCUGAGUGAUUCCACAGAGCCUAUAUAAGGGGGAGGGUUAGGGGCUCAACUAAUUUGAAUCAAUGUCCUCUGGUCGAUUGAGCAACCAGUUUUCAGUUUUUUUUUUCCUCCAAAAAUGAGCAGGAGUUUCUCCCUCAGGAAACCCCUGGACUCAUUUCUCCACAGUAUCAGAGUCAGCUCUCAGCCAGACAUCUGGAUUUCUUCACCAGCAUGUCUGGCCUUCUUAUCUCCUCUCUCAGGAGCUGGUUUACAACAUGAGUAGUUCUCCCUCCUCUACUCCCCAAACCUUUUCUCAGUCAGCGCAAACUGAUAGAAACAGAAUAUAUCACACUUGUAAGUUAAGUGAAUCUCAAACUUAAGAGUGAUUGACCUCUAAGGAGGUUGCUUUUAUUUUUCCAUAAUGUGUACGAUAGCCUUGUCUCCAUGCUGUGCGCUGUGGCUUAUGGAUGCACACUCAAGCAGGGUUGACCGCUGAUAUUAUUCCAUUUUCAGAAGAAUAAUUAAGCUCCCUCUCUUUAUAUAUGAGAGGAAGGAAUACUGUAGUAGGAUCCUGCAAGAUUAUAACCUGAAUAUGAUCAUAUUAAGAAUAUAGAGUUUAAUAUGUAGCUUAUUGGUAGUAGAAAAUGCAUCAUUUGACAAAUCUUGCAGGAUUUCCUCAUAUCAACCCUGCUUUUAGCAUCAUAAAGCUAAUGUGUCUAUGAUCCACAAGCAGUACAUGGAUUUAUUAAACACAAGCCCCACUUAUUUUUUUUCCUAUUUGCGUAAUGCUAGCUUGCAAGAGGUUAAAGCUAUUGUGGAUACUAAAACAGUACGAUCGCUUUGUCCUCACACACCAAAAAACAAAAGGAGAAGAAAUGAGUGACCUUCAAUUUGCAAAGGUUAAAAACAUAAUACAAACAUGAGGGCCCAUUCACUUGAACGCUCAUAUACACACAGGCAAAUAUCUGGAACACAACAUACGUGAGGAUGUUACCUGACAAAAAUAUUCAGAGGGCAAUUUUCCCCACAAUUCCUCAUUCUAGUUAAAGGGUGAGUGGUGAUGCUGGGGGAGCAAGCUGCUGACAAUCUAAAAGAGAGACGGUCGUUAUGGCGACCAAGCGACAAGACACAGAUUAGAGACAUUAGGAAAGGGUUUUCAGCCACAUAACCACACAGAAAUCAUUUGAGAGCUCUGAGCAAUCUCCCAAAAAUAGAGCAGGGAGACAGAGGAUGGGGGAGAGAAGGAAAAGAACAGUGAUAGCUCAAGUUGGGACACAAGGACAGGGCUUUACAUCAACAGAUAGAUAAAUAUAUCAAGUGUUUGGGUCGACAGGCACUUUUGCCGAGUGGUCGGUUGGUUUUGUUUGCAGACUUAUUAUCCACAUGUGGGUGCCUUUUUGAUUUGUGCUCUUCUAGGAUUUGCUCCAUAUUUAAAAAAAUCAUCUUCGAUCAAAACUAUAUUGUAUCUCUGUUCAUAGUAAUCAUUAUAUCCAUUUUAACAGAAGUAGGAACCUGAGGCACCUAUGUUGAAGUGCACUUAAUUUGGGUGUGGAGAUCGAUUUGUCAAACUUUCUUUCUCUCUUAUAAUAUGGCUCUGAAAGACUCCAUCGCAACAUAAUGGGUCACAUGGAAUAGCCCUCCUGUAUUUCACCAGACACCAAAUAACUCCUCUUUUAACAAUGUAGAGCCCUGACAACGGAAAAACAGUUAAAAAGCAUUUUCAGCUGCAAAGCCAUGCGAUUCUACUGACCCUAUUGUAUUGGUGUAUUAGCAUCACAGCUUUAAAUUGAUCCUGAAAUAAAUACCUGUGGUCACAGGUGCUCCUUUUCUGCCCAUCAGUUCCAUCAUAAAAACCAGCAGACAACCCACUUAUGAGUUUUUGAAUUUCUGUGUAGAAUCACACAGUGCUCCCCCAGCAAGACAGCAGAGGGAGAUUGCAUAUUUUAGUUCCUUUUUCUUAAAGAGUGACCUGAUUAGACAGUGGGCUGCUGGACACAGGUCAGUCCUGGGGGAUCCAGGACAAAGAGGCAGGGGAAAGAAGGGGGCUUUUUUUUUUUUUUUU